GUGCACUGUUCGUAACCUGUUUCAGCCUGUCAAUCUGAGAUUUGGGUUCCAUUCCAGUGCAAGAUACAAAAAAAACUCAGUGAGGCAGGGGAGUGGUGCCUCACUUGUGCUUUCUCCCUGUUCACUCUCUGAUGACAUCU
ensembl:snoRNA